rnacentral:antisense_RNA from 1 species
UUUUCACCAACAGGAAGAGGAACCAGGAUCAGUCCACUUAGAUGUACUGACUGCAUCAUUUAGUCCUCAGCACAAGGGGGCGAUCUUAUCACCAACCUACGGAUAAGGAAUCUGGCUGGGAAGGGCUGAAUGACCUGCUCAAGGUCACACAUCUAGAAAGAGGCACCUUCAGGACUUGAAUGAGAUGACUUUUAUAUCAAUGCCUGGGCUCCUAAUCGCCAUGCUGUCUUGACCGUCUGCAACAAACCCUUCACUCAACAAAUGGGGAUGUUAAGGCCCAGAAAGGCAAAGAAAGUUCCCCAAGGUCACAAGAUCAAUUGGCCACAUAGUUGAGGCUGGCUAAGAGAAAAGAAUAAUUUCUUGCUGGAUUCUUGGGAGAACCAUACAGGAAUAAGCUCAUGGUUUCGACUUUGUUGGUUCUCUAGCAGGACGCGGGUAUCCUCAAGGUCACAGACCCCUGAUCUCCAUUCCCCUGGACAUCUCAAGGGCACAAAUUCUCUGGACACACGGAGGGAAUAAUGCUGACAUUUUAUAGAAGCUGAGCCACUGGAUAUCCUUCUCACCCAACUCCAUUAGGCUGGGGAGAGUAAGAGGCACGGUGACAAGGUGGCAAAGAUGUCACCGUGCCAUCCAAUCACGAGGUCUCCAGGAAACUGUAUAAGAAGGACACCCCCAGAAACUCCUGGCACUACUGAACAAAUGUAUAAUAUCCCUGGGUAAAACCAAGAGUC